ensembl:rRNA 5S_rRNA 5S ribosomal RNA
GUCUACGGCCACACCACCCUGAACGCGCCCGAUCUCAUCUGAUCUCGGAAGCUAAGCAGGGUCGGGCCUGGUUAGUACUUGGAUGGGAGACCCUAUGGAGGAGAACCACCCGGCGGAGCCA